UACGAAGGGGGCUAGCGUUGCUCGGAAUCACUGGGCAUAAAGCGCACGUAGGCGGCUUCUUAAGUCAGGGGUGAAAUCCUGGAGCUCAACUCCAGAACUGCCUUUGAUACUGAGAAGCUUGAGUCCGGGAGAGGUGAGUGGAACUGCGAGUGUAGAGGUGAAAUUCGUAGAUAUUCGCAAGAACACCAGUGGCGAAGGCGGCUCACUGGCCCGGUACUGACGCUGAGGUGCGAAAGCGUGGGGAGCAAACAGG
rnacentral:rRNA from 1 species